rnacentral:rRNA from 1 species
CCUACGGGAGGCAGCAGUAGGGAAUCUUCCACAAUGGGCGAAAGCCUGAUGGAGCAACGCCGCGUGGGUGAAGAAGGUCUUCGGAUCGUAAAACCCUGUUGUUAGAGAAGAAAGUGCGUGAGAGUAACUGUUCACGUUUCGACGGUAUCUAACCAGAAAGCCACGGCUAACUACGUGCCAGCAGCCGCGGUAAUACGUAGGUGGGCAGCGUUAUCCGGAUUUAUUUGGCGUAAAGGGAACGCAGGCGGUCUUUUAAGUAUGAUGUGAAAGCCUUCGGCUUAACCGGAGUAGUGCAUUGGAUACUGGGCGACUUGAGUGCAGAAGAGGAGAGUGGAACUCCAGGUGUAGCGGUGAAAUGCGUAGAUAUAUGGCAGAACACCAGUGGCGAAAGCGGCUCUCUGGUCUGUAACUGACGCUGAGGUUCGAAAGCGUGGGUAGCAAACAGGAUUAGAUACCCCAGUAGUC